GCAGUCGUGGCCGAGCGGUUAAGGCGGUGGACUUGAAAUCCAUUGGGGUCUCCCCGCACAGGUUCGAAUCCUGUCGACUGCG
rnacentral:tRNA from 1 species